UACGUAGGGUGCGAGCGUUGUCCGGAUUUAUUGGGCGUAAAGGGCUCGUAGGCGGCGUGUCGCGUCGGGAGUGAAAGACCGGGGCUUAACCCCGGUUCUGCUUCCGGUACGGGCAUGCUGGAGUGUGGCAGGGGAGGACUGGAAGUUCCUGGUGUAGCGGUGGAAUGCGCAGAUAUCAGGAGGAACACCGGUGGCGAAGGCGGGUCUCUGGGCCAUUACUGACGCUGAGGAGCGAAAGCGUGGGGAGCGGAACAGG
rnacentral:rRNA from 1 species